GCGGACGUGGCGCAGUUGGUAGCGCACAACCUUGCCAAGGUUGGGGUCGCGGGUUCGAAUCCCGUCGUCCGCUC
rnacentral:tRNA from 4 species